GACGAACGCUGGCGGCGUGCCUAAUACAUGCAAGUCGAACGCAGUGGGGACGGGUGAGUAACACGUGGGUAACCUCCCAUCAGAGGGGAUAACACUUGGAAACAGGUGCUAAACCGAUAUUGAGUGAUGGACCCGCGGUGCAUUAGCUAGUUGGUGGAGUAACGGCUGACCAAGGCCACGAUGCAUAGCCAGCCUGAGAGGGAGAUCGGCCACGCGGGGACUGAGACGCGGCCCCGACUCCUCCGGGAGACAGCAGUAGGGAAUGUUCGGCGAUGGACGGAAGUCUGACCGAGAAACGCCGCGUGAGUGAAGAAGGUUUUCGGAUCGUAAAACUCUGUUGUUAGAGAAGAGGUAUCUAACCAGAAAGCCACGGCUAACUACGUGCCAGCCGCCGCGGUAAUUC
rnacentral:rRNA from 1 species